UACGAAGGGGGCUAGCGUUGCUCGGAAUCACUGGGCGUAAAGCGCACGUAGGCGGAUUGCUAAGUCAGGGGUGAAGUCUCCGGGCUCAACCCGGAAACUGCCAUUGAUACUAUUAGUCUUGAAUUCUGUUGAGGUGGGCGGAAUACAUCAUGUAGCGGUGAAAUGCUUAGAUAUGAUGUAGAAACACCGAUUGCGAAGGCAGC
rnacentral:rRNA from 1 species